GGCAGGGAAUACACUGAGGAGCCACAGAAAACUUCUCUGUCUCUUUGUCUUAGUCUCGCAGUCUCUCUGUCUCUCUCUCUAUCGCAGUCUCUCUGUCUCUCUCUCUGUCGCUCUCUCUAUCGCAGUCUCUCUGUUGCUCUCUCUAUCGCAGUCUCUCUGUCUCUCUCUCUGUCGCUCUCUCUAUCGCAGUCUCUCUGUUGCUCUCUCUAUCGCAGUCUCUCUGUUGCUCUCUCUAUCGCAGUCUCUCUGUCUCUCUCUCUGUCGCUCUCUCUAUCGCAGUCUCUCUGUUGCUCUCUCUAUCGCAGUCUCUCUGUCUCUCUCUUUACCACAGUCUCUCUGUCUCUCUCUCUAUCGCAGUCUCUCUCUCUAUCGCAGUCUCUGUCUCUCUCUCUAUCGCAGUCUCUGUCUCUCUCUCUAUCGCAGUCUCUGUCUCUCUCUCUAUCGCAGUCUCUGUCUCUCUCUCUAUCGCAGUCUCUGUCUCUCUCUCUAUCGCAGUCUCUGUCUCUCUCUCUAUCGCAGUCUCUGUCUCUCUCUCUAUCGCAGUCUCUGUCUCUCUCUCUAUCGCAGUCUCUGUCUCUCUCUCUAUCGCAGUCUCUCUCUAUCACAGUCUCUCUGUCUCUCUCUCUAUCUCAGUCUCUCUGUCUCUCUCUCUGUCACUCUAUCGCAGUCUCUCUGUUGCUCUCUCUAUCGCAGUCUCUCUGUCUCUCUCUCUGUCGCUCUCUCUAUCGCAGUCUCUCUGUUGCUCUCUCUAUCACAGUCUCUCUGUCUCUCUCUCUGUCGCUCUCUCUAUCGCAGUCUCUCUGUUGCUCUCUCUAUCACAGUCUCUCUGUCUCUCUCUCUAUCACAGUCUCUCUGUCUCUCUAUCACAGUCUCUCUGUCGCUCUCUCUAUCGCAGUCUCUCUGUUGCUCUCUCUAUCGCCGUCUCUCUGUUGCUCUCUCUAUCGCAGUCUCUCUGUCUCUCUCUCUAUCGCAGUCUCUGUCUCUCUCUCUAUCACAGUCUCUCUGUCUCUCUCUCUAUCACAGUCUCUCUGUCUCUCUAUCACAGUCUCUGUCGCUCUCUCUAUCGCAGUCUCUCUGUCCCUCUCUGUCUCUCUCUCUAUCGCAGUCUCUCUGUCGCUCUCUAUCGCAGUCUCUCUGUCGCUCUCUAUCGCAGUCUCUCUGUUGCUCUCUAUUGCAGUCUCUCUGUCUCUCUCUAUCGCAGUCUCUCUGUCCCUCUCUGUCUCUCUCUCUAUCGCAGUCUCUCUGUCGCUCUCUAUCGCAGUCUCUCUGUCGCUCUCUAUCGCAGUCUCUCUGUCGCUCUCUAUCGCAGUCUCUCUGUUGCUCUCUAUUGCAGUCUCUCUGUCUCUCUCUAUCGCAGUCUCUCUGUCUCUCUCUGUCUCUCUCGCUCUAUUGCAGUCUCUUUGUCUCUCUCUCUAUCGCAGUCUCUCUCUCUCUCUCUCUCUCUCUCUCUCUGUCUCUCUGUUUCACAGUUUCUGUCUCUCUCUCAGUCAAUUCAAUUUCAAUUCAAGGGCUUUAUUAGCCUGGGAAACAUAUAUUACCAUUGACAAAGCAAGAGAAAUAGAUAACAGACAAAAGUGA
ensembl:lncRNA